CCCCGGCUAUAUGUAUUGAUCGCUAUUUUCAGAAUUCACUCUGCACAGAAGAUACCUUCAAGAUAGAAAGCACUGGAAGCAAGUUUUACAUCUUUUUUGUAUUGCCUAAAGAAAAAGCCUAUUCAUCGACUUAUCGAAGUGGUGACGCCCGUGCCAGCAGUUCCUGCUGCUAUCGCCGACUGUUCCUGGCGUGCCAUCUGCCUACUUCCGCGUGACGUACAGUGACGUUUUUCCGUGGCUUCCUUCCUGGCUUUUGGCGGGCGUUUCUCACACUUUGGCAGCGGCGGCAGGCUGUGCGCACACGCGUACUCAAGCUCAUUGCAUCGAUUUUUUCAGUUCACUUCGC
rnacentral:lncRNA from 1 species